GUGAGGAAUUUUCCGCAAUGGGCGAAAGCAUGACGGAGCAAUGCCGCGUGAAGGAUGAAGGCCUAUGGGUUGUAAACUUCUUUUCUCAGAAAAGAAUUAUGACGGUAUCUGAGGAAUAAGCAUCGGCUAACUCUGUGCCAGCAGCCGCGGUAAGACAGAGGAUGCAAGCGUUAUCCGGAAUGAUUGGGCGUAAAGCGUCUGUAGGUUGUUUAAAAAGUAUUCUGUCAAAGAUUAGGGCUUAACCCUAGAUAGGCAGAAUAAACUUUUAAGCUAGAGUUUGAUAGAGGCAGAGGAAAUUCCCGGUGGAGCGGUGAAAUGCGUAGAUAUCGGGAGGAACACCAAAGGCGAAGGCAAUCUUCUGGGCCAAUACUAACACUGAGAGACGAAAGCGAGGGGAGCAAAUGGGAUUAGAAACACGAGUAGUCC
rnacentral:rRNA from 1 species